rnacentral:rRNA from 1 species
CAAAUCUUGACAUCGAUCUGACCGGACUGUAAUGAGUCCUUUCCCUUCGGGGACAGAGAAGACAGGUGGUGCAUGGUUGUCGUCAGCUCGUGUCGUGAGAUGUUGGGUUAAGUCCCGCAACGAGCGCAACCCUUAUCCUCAGUAGCCAGCAAGUGAAGUUGGGCACUCUGUGGAGACUGCCAGGGAUAACCUGGAGGAAGGUGGGGAUGACGUCAAAUCAUCAUGCCCCUUAUGAUUUGGGCUACACACGUGCUACAAUGGCGUAAACAAAGGGAAGCGAUCACGCGAGUGUGAGCAAAUCUCAAAAAUAACGUCUCAGUUCGGAUUGUAGUCUGCAACUCGACUACAUGAAGCUGGAAUCGCUAGUAAUCGCAGGU